rnacentral:rRNA from 1 species
GCACAGGUGCUGCAUGGCUGUCGUCAGCUCGUGUCGUGAGAUGUUCGGUUAAGUCCGCUAACGAGCGCAACCCUCGUCGUGUGUUAUACGUGUCACACGAUACUGGCCGGUAUCAAGCCGGAGGAAGGUGGGGAUGAUGUCAAGUCAGCAUGGCCUUUAUAUCCUGGGCUACACACACGCUACAAUGGCAGGUACAAUAGGUUGCGAAACCGCGAGGUGGAGCCAAUCCUACAAAGUCUGUCUCAGUUCAGAUUGUAGGCUGCAACUCGCCUGCAUGAAGUUGGAGUUGCUAAGUAAACGCAGGUCAGCUAUACUGCGGUGAAUACGUCCGGGCUU